rnacentral:rRNA from 1 species
UACGUAGGGACCAAGCGUUGUUCGGAUUUACUGGGCGUAAAGGGCGCGUAGGCGGCGUGUUAAGUCAGCUGUGAAAUCUCCAAGCUUAACUUGGAACGGUCAGCUGAUACUGAUGUGCUAGAGUGCAGAAAGGGCAAUCGGAAUUCUUGGUGUAGCGGUGAAAUGCGUAGAUAUCAGGAAGAACAUCGGUGGCGAAGGCGAGUCCCUGGACGAUACCUGACACUGAGGCACGAAAGCCAAGGGAGCAAACAGG